UGUAUGAAGAAGGCCUUCGGGUUGUAAAGUACUUUCAGCGGGGAGGAAGGGAGUAAAGUUACUCCUUUGCUCAUUGACGUUACCCGCARAAGAAGCACCGGCUAACUCCGUGCCAGCAGCCGCGRUAAUACGGAGGGUGCAAGCGUUAAUCGGAAUUACUGGGCGUAAMGCGCACGCMCGCGGUUUGUUCACUCAGAUGUGAAAUCCCCGGGCUCACCCUGGGCACUGCAUCUGAUACUGGCAAGCUUGABUCUCGUAGAGGGGGGUAGAAUUCCAGGUGUCGCGGUGAAAUGCGUAGAGAUCUGGAGGAAUACCGGUGGCGAAGGCGGCCCCCUGGACGAAGACUGACGCUCAGGUGCGAAAGCGUGGGGAGCAAACAGGAUUAGAUACCCUGGUAGUCCACGCCGUAAACGAUGUCGACUUGGCGGUUGUGCCCUUGAGGCGUGGCUUCCGGAGUAACGCGUUAAGUCGACCGCCUGGGGAGUACGGCCGC
rnacentral:rRNA from 1 species